rnacentral:lncRNA from 1 species
CACAUUUCUGCCCCGCCACCGUCUUUCCCGCCGCAUACUAUUAGAGAUAGCUACUGCUCCUGAUCCCCCACCUCGUCCCAAGCCAGUCAAGAUGAAGGUCAACAGGAUGCUGCAGCCAGUGCCCAAGCAAGAAGGACGUACAGUGGUGGUGGUGAACAGCCCACGGGCUCCCCUUGGCCCUGUCCCAGUCCGCCCCCCUCCAGGCCCUGAGGUCUCAACCCAGCCCACUCUUGGUCCAGUUCCUCCAGUGUUGCCAACACCACUCAUGGUGUCGGCUUCGCCUGCUGGAACCCCAGUUGUUCCUGCAUCCCGGCCGCCUGGACCUGUUCUCUUGUCUCCCUUGCAGCCAAAUACUGGUCCUCUCCCCCAGGUGUUGCCAUCCCCCAUGGGAGUCAUGAGUGGCACCU